CAGCACUCUAUCCUUAUGGUACUGAUGAUAAGUGUGCUUGUUCCCAAACGUUUGAUUUGCACUAUAAUGACUAUGGAACUCAAGAUAACACAGCCUGGGACUGUUCAAGGAAUGCUCAGAGCUCUGCAUACAGAGGUGCUAUAUCUCAUCUGCUGGACCACAUGAAUUUUGUUCAACCAGCUCCUCAGAUUUGCCAUUCGCAUGCAUCUG